rnacentral:rRNA from 1 species
AGUGAACGCUGGCGUAGGCCUAACACAUGCAAGUCGAACGGCAGCACAGUAAGAGCUUGCUCUUACGGGUGGCGAGUGGCGGACGGGUGAGGAAUACAUCGGAAUCUACUUUUUCGUGGGGGAUAACGUAGGGAAACUUACGCUAAUACCGCAUACGACCUACGGGUGAAAGCAGGGGAUCUUCGGACCUUGCGCGAUUGAAUGAGCCGAUGUCAGAUUAGCUAGUUGGCGGGGUAAAGGCCCACCAAGGCGACGAUCCGUAGCUGGUCUGAGAGGAUGAUCAGCCACACUGGAACUGAGACACGGUCCAGACUCCUACGGGAGGCAGCAGUGGGGAAUAUUGGACAAUGGGCGCAAGCCUGAUCCAGCCAUACCGCGUGGGUGAAGAAGGCCUUCGGGCUGUAAAGCCCUUUUGUUGGGAAAGAAAAGCAGCAGGUUAAUACCCCGCUGUUCUGACGGUACCCAAAGAAUAAGCACCGGCUAACUUCGUG